rnacentral:rRNA from 1 species
AAAACUAAAAGGACGCGGUAACCUUGACCGUGAUAAUGUAGCAUAAUCAUUCGCCAUUUAAUUGAUGGAUAGUAUGAAUGGUUGAACGAAUAUUUCACUGUCUUAAAAAGAAACAUUUAAAAAUUAGAAUAAUAGUAAAGAUACUAUUUAAAAUUGUAAGACGAAAAGACCCUAUAGAGCUUAACUAUAAUCUUUUACUAAUCAAAAGAAAAAAUUCUUUAAAAUAAAAAGAUUGGUAGUUUAGUUGGGGCGACUAUCUUUUAAAAUUAACAAAGAUAAGCAAAGUAAAUAAAAAAACUUAUUGUAUAAUUAAUAAAUUUAACAAUUACUAAAGUAGGCUAUAAUGACCCGUUAUAAUCUCAUAAAAAAAAUAACGAUCAAUAAAUAAAAGCUACCUUAGGGAUAACAGGAUAAUUUUAUUUUAGAGAUCAUAUCGAAAAUAAAGUUUGUCACCUCUAUGUUGAAUUAAGA